GACAGAGGUGCCAAGCGUUAGGCGGAAUCACUGGGCUUAAAGCGUGUGUGGGCGGAUGCCUAAGUACCUUGUGAAAUCCCACGGCUCAACCGUGGAACUGCUUGGUAUACUGGGUGUCUUGAGCCAGCUAGGGGCUACCGGAACAAAUGGUGGAGCGGUGAAAUGCGUAGAUAUCAGGAAGAACACCCGUGGCGAAGGCGGCUCUCUGGGACGGUACUGACGCUGAGACGCGAAAGCGUGGGGAGCAAACAGG
rnacentral:rRNA from 1 species